CUUUCGCAUUCUCUCUCUAACAUCAAUGUCUCUCUCUAUCCGCCCCCUUCUCUCUCUCUCUCUCAGUCCGUCCGUCCUCCUUUUCUCCAUCUCCGUUGCCGGAUCUAAUUAGAUCCGCACCGACAACCUCCGUCUGCCCUCCUUUCUUCUCUCGACGUAGAAGCUCCGUCUGCAACGAGCAUCCUCCCACGAGCCACCAGAUCUGUGACGGAUAGAUCUCUCACGCAACGUGGAUCUCUCCUUACGCCGCUGAUGCGACGGACGGCCAUCGUCAUAGUCGUUGUUUUCGUUCGCUUCGCCGACGAAGUGCAGACCUAGGGCUAGAAGAUCGAGGGAUCUCGUUGCCAAGUUCACUUCCCUUCCCUUCGACCAAUGCAAGCAUAACAACAACAUCGUCGAUUGCCAGCCCUUUGGCCCCUCCGGCGUCAUGCUCGUUUUCGUCUCCGGUAACCUCCAGCUCAUCGGCGAGCAGCAAGCUCACAAGUUCAACCAGCUACUUUCUCGCAUCCUGUUGCGUUGAAGCUAGACAACAACAAUUUUUAGGUUUGGCGGCGACAGAUUCUCGCAACUGUUCGCGGUCAUCGCCUCCAAGAUUUUCUUUCAGAUUCUACACGGUCUCUUGCAAGGUUUCUUUCUCCAGAGGAUGAGCUUCUUUGUGUGGUUAAUCCAGCUUAUGUAGAAUGGGAGCAACAAGAUCAGUUGCUCAUGUCUUGGAUACUAGCUUCGAUGUCCGAUUCGAUUCUUGCUCGCAUGGUUAAGUGUGAAACAGCAGCUCAAGUCUGACGUACAAUCGAGGCACUCGUUUGGAGAUGAUGUUCUCUUUCCCAUUUGUUCAAUGGUUGAUUUGGAGCCUUUGACAACAAACCAAGAUUCAGUGGCAGAUUUUUAUUACUAAGAUUAGUUCAAUGGUUGAUUUUUGUGAGAUCAAAUCUUCAAAACAAUCUAAGAUUUUUGUCAGCACUGGAUUUCAAAUGUCAUAUAAGAUUUUGAGAUCU